GUGAGAUCUGUGGUCACAAAACGUGUCUUGAUAGCUUCAUUCUAGACAUUAGGAAAACCUGCUGCAUCAGGAGAACAGGGGCCUGGAGAGGAAUCUCCUUCCUUGGAGGAUUUCAAUAAGAGAUCAGAAAAAGUGAGGGUUUACUGAUGUUGGGAAUAGCCCCUGGUUUGAGUGGGAAGUUGGAUUAGAUGACCACUAGAGAUAUCUCUCAGCCUCAUAUUGCACAGGACUCUUGGGGGCCUGAAAAUAUGAAGAAAUCAAGCGUGCCACCAGUAUUAUACCAGAUGUGAGUUUGACAUGAUGUCCUCUAAGAUGCAUAUUUUACUGUUCAAGGUGCUACUAAGAACUAGGAUCCAGGAGCACCAAGACGA
rnacentral:lncRNA from 1 species